rnacentral:lncRNA from 1 species
GUAUUUUUUCUUUAUUUUUUUUCUUUCCCUUUCUCAUUCAUUUCUUAGCUUUUCUGGGGUGGAAAUGAAAGAAGAGAGCUGAAAUAAACUUCUGGAUGGUUUAUUUUAACUGAUUUUAAUAAGGAAAGAGUGAUUAGGCCAGGUGCAAAAAGGUUAUAUUUACACUUUUCGGAACAUCUCUUGACUUGCCUAUAGGGGUAUGGAUGUGUAUUGGCCAAAUUUGUAUGAUGUAAAGAUGCAAUUUUUCUGAAAAUUGCAUAUAUUUUUGGACUUGUACUGUACAUUACACACACAAAAAAUUAGACAAAAAGAAUAGGCAAAAUUUUUUUAAUGCGACAAAACGUUAUAAAGAAAUGAUAGAGGAAUUAAUUGUGGUCUCGGGCCAAAAACAGAUCUUUUCAACAAUCAAAAGUGACAAAACCAAACCCAGGAAAGGGAAAAUUCACUGGUAAUCAUGGAAAUAAGAACAAAGAAUUUGAAAUCAACAAGCUAGUCCAACAGUUGUUACAACUUGCUAAUUAAACUGUUAUUUUCAAAAUGUAAAUGUACUGUAGCCU